AGUGCCCUUCGGGAACCCGGUGACAGGUGCUGCAUGGCUGUCGUCAGCUCGUGCCGUGAGGUGUCGGGUUAAGUCCCAUAACGAGCGCAACCCUUAUCGUUAGUUGCCAUCUGGUAAUGCAGGGGACUCUAGCGAAACUGCCACCGUAAGGUGAGAGGAAGGUGGGGAUGACGUCAAAUCAGCACGGCCCUUAUGUCCAGGGCUACACACGUGUUACAAUGGUCGGUACAGAGGGCAGCUACCUGGUGACAGGAUGCUAAUCUCGAAAACCGGUCUCAGUUCGGAUCGAAGUCUGCAACUCGACUUCGUGAAGCUGGAUUCGCUAGUAAUCGCGCAUCAGCUAUGGCGCGGUGAAUACGUUCCCGGGCCUU
rnacentral:rRNA from 1 species